CUUUUACCACAAUAAAAAAUUAAAAGAUAUUGCACUGGUUUUACCUAAGCAAUGAGUUUUUUACCACUUCGUCAAGCUUUGAUGUGCACAACCAAAUCCAUUUGCCUCAUCCUUCCUACUCUCCACAAAUACAAUCCGAUGCCCUGGAACACACACACACACUGCGCACGGCUUUCUGCAGCUCAACUCUAUAAAAACACAACAUGGUCGUCGGCCAAACACUCUGCAUCUAGGCUCGAUUAAAACGUAGCGGACAGCUCAGUGUGGUGCGGCGGUGCGGGCUCAGGAGAGGGCCGUGGUCUUGGGGGAAGACGCAGUGCUUUAAGGAGUGUUGGCUGACCAGUCCUCUGAGUGUCUAGCGAUGGGAGUCCGAGGCUGGCCCCCCAGCAGGUUAGUGACCCCACCAGGGAGACGCCCUCGGCCAGAUGGCCCCAGCAUAAAGUUGGAGUUGGUAGAUGGCGCUGACAUUGAUCAGUGCAUGUAUGAGGCAGCUGCCGGGGCAGACUGGUGGCCAGCGGCUCCCAGAUGGUCCUGUAGCCUACACUCAGGCUGUGCAGACGGGUCCACAUGGUCCCAAUCAGCUGGACAUUCAACCCGGAGGGGACGGGCUGCUUCUGGUAAUUAGGACAGAGAGGUGGAUGGGGGGAGGCCGUGUUGUUACACAGACUAAAGUGGAUCGACGGCCUCGUCCGAGCAGCAGGGCUCUGCCGCUUGGCCCAGGAGCGCCCAGAAUAGAUCACCACACAUCUCGUCUCUGAGUGGUGGGAGCUCAUUUCCUCUCCACGAGCCUCACACACAAACACACUUAUAGACACAGUUCAGAGUUUUUACAAAAAGUAGUAAGCACAGUAGAGAUGGUUUUUAGACAUUUGGCAAAUCUCUUGUGCCCCCGCUGCGAGCCGCAGGGCUCAUGCCCCCAGCCCAGUGUGUUGGUUUGAUUCUACAGGAGACCAGUUCCACUGAAACUAACAUGUAAACAAGGAGGGAGACCACCGGUCGGUGGGAGUGUCAGACGGUCGGCCCCUCUGCCUCCAGGUCCUGAGGGCAGGGGGCACUGCUCGUCUGCCAAGGCAGAGACCAGAGGAUGAGGAGCUGGGAGGACGGAGGACUGGGAGGACUGGGAGGACUGGGGGGACUGGGAGGACUGGGGGGACUGGGAGGACUGGGGGACUGGGGCAGGGGGGCAGCAGCGCUGUGCACCCACGGACCAGACAGCUCUGAGACGCCGUCAGGUGAGCUGCGGCUAACAUAGCAACGUACAGACCACACAUGGCGACCAAACAGCGCAGCGAGCAGCCACAGAUAACGAGAUCACGCGACGGCAACGGAGUGGAAGGGUCCAUCCAGGACCUCGUCUGACCUGCGUCGUUAAGGUCGCUGCCACUUGAGCUAAUUACAAACGCAAAGUCGACCGAGGAGAGCAGGCGACUAUAGUGGUGUUGGAGCGCAGCCAUUGGCCCACACAUGUGCAGGGUUCCAUGGUAACGGUACACGGUAAACUAAGGGAUAAAGAACGUGUGCAAAGCCUGCCCCCCCCCCAAAUACUGACGCCUACAGAGCAACACACACAAACUGAAAUAUAGAAAACUGUUGGAGCACAUUAAA
ensembl:lncRNA